GGCCACCGAGCGCGUCAUUGACGCGAAUAUCGCCGAAAGGCUGCAAUGCAAGGUUCUCGCCGAGGGCGCGAACGGUCCCACCACACCCGACGCCGAUCUCGUGCUCGAAAAGCGCCAGGACGAAAUUUUCCUGAUCCCGGACAUUCUCUGCAAUGCCGGUGGUGUCGUGGUCAGCUAUUUUGAAUGGGUUCAGGAUCUGCAGCAACUGUUCUGGGAAGAAGAAGAGGUGAUGCGGCGCGAGUAUCAGAUUCUCGACCGCGCGUUCGAUCAGAUGGCUGUACGCGCGAAACGCGAUAAAA
rnacentral:misc_RNA from 1 species